rnacentral:rRNA from 1 species
ACGGAAGGCAGCAGUGGGGAAUAUUGCACAAUGGGGGAAACCCUGAUGCAGCAACGCCGCGUGAGUGAUGAAGUAUUUCGGUAUGUAAAACUCUAUCAGCAGGGAAGAAAAAAGACGGUACCUGACUAAGAAGCACCGGCUAAAUACGUGCCAGCAGCCGCGGUAAUACGUAUGGUGCAAGCGUUAUCCGGAUUUACUGGGUGUAAAGGGAGCGCAGGCGGCCCUGCAAGCCAGAGGUGAAAACCCGGGGCUCAACCCCGCGGAUUGCCUUUGGAACUGUAAGGCUUGAGUACUGGAGGGGCAGGCGGAAUUCCUGUUGUAGCGGUGAAAUGCGUAGAUAUCAGGAGGAACACCGGUGGCGAAGGCGGCCUGCUGGACAGAAACUGACGCUGAGGCUCGAAAGCGUGGGGAGCAAACAGGAUUAGAUAC